rnacentral:rRNA from 1 species
AGUCGCCGCGGUAAUACGAAGGGGGCUAGCGUUGUUCGGAAUUACUGGGCGUAAAGCGCACGUAGGCGGACAUUUAAGUCAGGGGUGAAAUCCCGGGGCUCAACCCCGGAACUGCCUUUGAUACUGGGUGUCUAGAGUAUGGAAGAGGUGAGUGGAAUUCCGAGUGUAGAGGUGAAAUUCGUAGAUAUUCGGAGGAACACCAGUGGCGAAGGCGGCUCACUGGUCCAUUACUGACGCUGAGGUGCGAAAGCGUGGGGAGCAAACAGGAUUAGAUACCCGGGUAGUCCCUGUCUCUUAUACA